AAUCAACGCUGGCGGCGUGCCUAACACAUGCAAGUCGAACGCGAAAGUCCCGCAAGGGAUGAGUAGAGUGGCAAACGGGUGAGUAACACGUGGGUGACCUGCCUUCGAGCGGGGGAUAACGUCCCGAAAGGGACGCUAAUACCGCAUGACAUCCUGCCUUUGAAGAGGUGGAGAUCAAAGCUGGGGAUCGCAAGACCUAGCACUUGAAGAGGGGCCCGCGUCUGAUUAGCUAGUUGGUGGGGUAACGGCUCUCCAAGGCAACGAUCAGUAUCCGGCCUGAGAGGGCGGACGGACACACUGGGACUGAGACACGGCCCAGACUCCUACGGGAGGCAGCAGUGGGGAAUUGUUCGCAAUGGGCGCAAGCCUGACGACGCAACGCCGCGUGGAGGAUGAAGACCUUCGGGUCGUAGACUCCUUUCGAUCGAGACGAAUGGCUUCCGGGUGAACAACCCGGGAGAAUGACGGUACCGAGAGAAGAAGCCCCGGCUAACUCCGUGC
rnacentral:rRNA from 1 species